GACGAACGCUGGCGGCGUGCUUAACACAUGCAAGUCGAGCGGAAAGGCCACUUCGGUGGUACUCGAGCGGCGAACGGGUGAGUAACACGUGAGUAAUCUGCCCUUCACUCUGGGAUAGCCACCGGAAACGGUGGUUAAUACCGGAUACGACCACUCCACGCAGGUGGUGGUGGUGGAAACUUUUUUGGGUGGGGGAUGUGCUCGCGGCCUAUCAGCUUGUUGGUGGGGUAAUGGCCUACCAAGGCUUCGACGGGUAGCCGGCCUGAGAGGGUGACCGGCCACACUGGGACUGAGACACGGCCCAGACUCCUACGGGAGGCAGCAGUGGGGAAUAUUGGACAAUGGGCGGAAGCCUGAUCCAGCAACGCCGCGUGAGGGAUGACGGCCUUCGGGUUGUAAACCUCUUUCAGCACCGACGGAGCGCAAGUGACGGUAGGUGCAGAAGAAGGACCGGCCAACUACGUGCCAGCAGCCGCGGUAACAC
rnacentral:rRNA from 1 species